rnacentral:rRNA from 1 species
GACGAACGCUGGCGGCGUGCUUAACACAUGCAAGUCGAACGGAAAGGCUCCAGCUUGCUGGAGUACUCGAGUGGCGAACGGGUGAGUAACACGUGGGUAAUCUGCCCUGCACUCUGGGAUAAGCCUGGGAAACUGGGUCUAAUACUGGGUAUGACCUUUCUCCUUAUGGGGUUUGGUGGAAAGUUUUUCGGUGUAGGAUGAGCCCGCGGCCUAUCAGCUUGUUGGUGGGGUGAUGGCCUACCAAGGCGACGACGGGUAGCCGGCCUGAGAGGGUGAUCGGCCACAUUGGGACUGAGAUACGGCCCAGACUCCUACGGGAGGCAGCAGUGGGGAAUAUUGCACAAUGGGCGGAAGCCUGAUGCAGCGACGCCGCGUGAGGGAUGACGGCCUUCGGGUUGUAAACCUCUUUCAGCAGGGACGAAGCGUAAGUGACGGUACCUGCAGAAGAAGCACCGGCUAACUAUGUG